AGUGAACGCUGGCGGUAGGCCUAACACAUGCAAGUCGAACGGCAGCACAGUAAGAGCUUGCUCUUACGGGUGGCGAGUGGCGGACGGGUGAGGGAUACAUCGGAAUCUACUUUUUCGUGGGGGAUAACGUAGGGAAACUUACGCUAAUACCGCAUACGACCUACGGGUGAAAGCAGGGGAUCUUCGGACCUUUCGCGAUUGAAUGAGCCGAUGUCGGAUUAGCUAGUUGGCGGGGUAAAGGCCCACCAAGGCGACGAUCCGUAGCUGGUCUGAGAGGAUGAUCAGCCACACUGGAACUGAGACACGGUCCAGACUCCUACGGGAGGCAGCAGUGGGGAAUAUUGGACAAUGGGCGCAAGCCUGAUCCAGCCAUACCGCGUGGGUGAAGAAGGCCUUCGGGUUGUAAAGCCCUUUUGUUGGGAAAGAAAAGCAGCAGGUUAAUACCCCGCUGUUCUGACGGUACCCAAAGAAUAAGCACCGGCUAACUUCGUG
rnacentral:rRNA from 1 species